CGAGCACGCGCGUGUGGCAUAUCAAUAAGCGGAGGAAAAGAAACUAACAAGGAUUCCCCUAGUAACGGCGAGUGAAGCGGGAAGAGCUCAAAUUUGAAAUCUUAAAGGGUUUCCCUUUACGAAUUGUAGUUUAAAGAAGCGUUUUCUGUUGGAGUUUCGGUAAAAGUUCUUUGGAAUAGGACAUCAUAGAGGGUGAGAAUCCCGUAUUUGACCGUUACUUUCCAGCCGUGUGAUACACUUUCAAAGAGUCGGAUUGUUUGGGAAUGCAGUCCAAAAUGGGUGGUAAAUUUCAUCUAAAGCUAAAUAUUGGCGAGAGACCGAUAGCGAACAAGUACCGUGAGGGAAAGAUGAAAAGAACCUUUGAAAAGAGAGUUAAACAGUACGUGAAAUUGUCAAAAGGGAAGCGUUUGACACCAGUGUUGUUUUUCCGAAAAUCAAUUACGAAUGUUUUGUUUUUAGGAAGUUAUGACUUCAUCGGCUUGCUUCUUUCUUUACGAAACUUUCUUAAUGCACUUUUCGGUUAACAAGUCAACAUCAAUUUCUUUUGUUGUAAAAGGGUAUGAGGAAGGUGGCUUUCUUUUCGGAGAAAGUGUUUAUAGCCUUGUACCUCUGCAAUCGGAGAGAUUGAGGUCUGCAGCGUAGAUCCUUCGGGGUUAGAUACAUUUGUGCUAAGUUAUAGCUUUUCAUAGACAACUUGUUGACUAUGUUUAGUCUUGUAGCUUACUCGCUUAUGCUAUUUUACCUACGCUUAGGAUGUUGAGCGCAUGUCUCUCUCU
rnacentral:rRNA from 1 species